rnacentral:rRNA from 1 species
UACGUAGAGAGCAAGCGUUGUCCGGAAUCACUGGGCGUAAAGGGUACGUAGGCGGAUAUUUAAGUCAAAUGUGAAAUCCAUCGGCUCAACCGAUGAUGUGCAUUUGAAACUGGAUAUCUUGAGUACAGGAGAGGAGAGCGGAAUUCCUGGUGUAGCGGUGGAAUGCGUAGAUAUCAGGAAGAACACCAGUGGCGAAGGCGGCUCUCUGGCCUGAGACUGACGCUCAUGUACGAAAGCUGGGGGAGCAAACGGG